AUUGAACGCUGGCGGCAUGCCUUACACAUGCAAGUCGAACGGUAACAGGUCUUCGGAUGCUGACGAGUGGCGAACGGGUGAGUAAUACAUCGGAACGUGCCUAGUAGUGGGGGAUAACUACUCGAAAGAGUGGCUAAUACCGCAUGAGAUCUACGGAUGAAAGCAGAGGAUCGCAAGACCUUGUGCUACUAGAGCGGCCGAUGGCAGAUUAGGUAGUUGGUGGGAUAAAAGCUUACCAAGCCGACGAUCUGUAGCUGGUCUGAGAGGACGAUCAGCCACACGCGGGCUGAGACACGGACCAGACUCCUACGGGAGGAAGCAGUGGGGAAUUUUCGACAAUGGGCGCAAGCCUGAUCCAGCAAUGCCGCGUGCAGGAUGAAGGCCUUCGGGUUGUAAACUGCUUUUGUACGGAACGAAAAGCCCUGGGUUAAUACCCUGGGGUCAUGACGGUACCGUAAGAAUAAGCACCGGCUAACUACGUGCCAGCAGCCGCGGUAA
rnacentral:rRNA from 1 species